GGAGGCCAGGAGGUCUGCGACCUCCCGGAAUGGGCAGAUUUACUGUAGGCAUUCAAAACAUCUAACUAAAAUAAAAGGAAUUGUCUNNNUGUCACCAAAAUAAAACAUUUAAUGUAUCCAGGUGUGUCCAACUUGGGAAGGGACACUGGUAUGAUAGGGAAGAAAGAACCAUAGAAAUGUCACAGUUGUAAGAUUAAUUAAUAUUGGAAGCAGUUAAUUAAUAAUUAAAUAUUAAAAUUUCUUAUUUAUGUAAAAAGUGUAAUUAUGUCCUCUAUUUUAUUAAAACUUCUGAAAAAAGUAUAGCCU
rnacentral:lncRNA from 1 species